rnacentral:rRNA from 1 species
AUGGCGGCCGCAGGAGAUCCUCUCCAAGGUCAAGCACGUCCAGGCCAAGCCUGCUGGCCGCCCUCGCGAGUGACUGCCUCCACGAUGACGAGGGCGGCCUCGUCGUCCCCAGAGGCUGCGGUGCCCCUCAAGGCCGACCUCCGCCACGUGAGUGAUCCGUCGAUCUCGUCUCUCCAGUGUUCCGGAUGCACGCACGAGUUCGACCUGGACAAGCUGCCGGUGCUGCAGGAGGUGGUGGAUUUCUUUAGUGGCCACUGA